UACAGAGGUCUCAAGCGUUUGUUCGGGAUUCAUUGGGCGUAAAGGGUGCGUAGGCGGCGCGGUAAGUCGGGUGUGAAAUCUCCGGGGCUUAACUCCGAAACUGCAUUCGAUACUGCCGUGCUUGAGGACUGGAGAGGAGACUGGAAUUUACGGUGUAGCGGUGAAAUGCGUAGAUAUCAGGAGGAACACCGGUGGCGAAGGCGGCACUCUGGGCCGGUACUGACGCUGGAGGAGCGAAAGCGUGGGGAGCGAACAGG
rnacentral:rRNA from 1 species